rnacentral:rRNA from 1 species
GGGCGUUAUUCGGAUUUAUUGGGCGUAAAGAGCUCGUAGGCGGUUCAACAAGUCGGGUGUUAAACCCCCAGGCUCAACCUGGGGCCGCCACCCGAAACUGUUGUGACUAGAGUUUGGUAGGGGAUCACGGAAUUCCUGGUGUAGCGGUGGAAUGCGCAGAUAUCAGGAGGAACACCAGCAGCGAAGGCGGUGAUCUGGGCCAAUACUGACGCUGAGGAGCGAAAGCGUGGGGAGCGAACAGGAUUAGAUACCCAGGUAGUCCACGCCGUAAACGGUGGGCACUAGGUGUGGGGACUUUUCAACGGUUUCCGCGCCGCAGCUAACGCAUUAAGUGCCCCGCCUGGGGAGUACGGUCGCAAGACUAAAACUCAAAGAAAUUGACGGGGGCCCGCACAAGCAGCGGAGCAUGUGGCUUAAUUCGAUGCAACGCGAAAAACCUUACCUAGAUUUGACAUGCUGGGAAAAGCCACAGAGAUGUGGUGUCCUUCGGGGCUCAGCACAGGUGGUGCAUGGCUGUCGUCAGCUCGUGUCGUGAGAUGUUGGGUUAAGUCCCGCAACGAGCGCAACCCUUGUUCUAUGUUGCCAGCACGUAAUGGUGGGGACUCGUAGAAGACUGCCGGGGUCAACUCGGAGGAAGGUGGGGACGACGUCAAGUCAUCAUGCCCCUUACGUCUAGGGCUGCACACAUGCUACAAUGGGCGGUACAGAGGGCUGCUAAACCGCGAGGUGGAGCCAAUCCCUAAAACCGCUCUCAGUUCAGAUUGCAGGCUGCAACUCGCCUGCAUGAAGUUGGAGUUGCUAGUAAUCCCGGAUCAGCA